rnacentral:lncRNA from 1 species
CUCUGCCUGGCUGUGUGACCCUUGGGCCGAACCCAGAAGCCACACUGAGUGGAGGGAGGCACCUAAGCCUCUUUGCAGCUCUGCAGGAAACUGAGUGACCCACAGGAAAAUGUAUCGCAGCAGACGAAAGUGCACCUUCACUUCAAGUUUGAAGGCCUGGUCGCCGGAGCAGAGCAGCCGAGAGCCCGGAGACGACCCCGCGCGGAGCUGGGGUUCAGUGCGGGUGCCAGACGCGUCGCCUGGGUCUCCAGCCCUUCCGUGUGGGCGGCGCAGCCCCCCGCCCCCUGCCCCAUUGGCUGCCGCCCUGCGGCCCAAAUAAAUCAGCGGGGACAGGCCGCGCCAGGCCCGGCUGCCGAGGCAGAGCUCGGCCAGGGCCAGCGGGGCCCCAGCGGCCCCGGAGAGGCCGGAGGAGAGGGGGAGGACCUCUGAAGAAAGAAAAACAAAAGCAAGGAAAGAAAGGCGACAAAUCUGAGAAACACGAUUUAAAAAAUACAAUUGGAUUCAAAGGAAAUAAAGCGUCCAGAACAUUUACGUAACUGCUUACACACGAGCUUUGCAAAAUGCAGUCCGUUUCAACACUUGGUCCAACUCGCCACGGGACCGGGACCGAAGCGCUGCGAAACCUUGGACGCCGCGGUGGGAACCUUUCUGGGGGCUGCAGUCGAUCGAACUCGGGUUAAAAUUUAAAGCCCUGGAUCCGGCUCCGUGGCCGGUCUUCCCUCCAUUCCGGAGUUUUCCACCUUUACCCUUUCCCAACUCGCUGCGACUGGGACCCGCGCGGGGCCGGGGGCUGGCGAGGAGCGACGUCAUAAAAGUGACUAAAUCGGGCGAGAACGGUUUAUGGACUUUCUCGGUAGCAAUUUAAAAUUCAGGUCUUCAGCAGCAAUUUACAACGAAUGAGAAACGGAGAAUUUCCGUCCACUUCCUGGAUUCCCCAUCCCGCACUGCCGCCCCCACCCUCCCCAGGUUCCCAACUCACGUUCCAGGACCAGGAAACCCUGCUUGCGAAGAGCCCUCGCCGUCCCUGCGAGCCCCGCUUUACCACGAACCUCCCUACCCCAGUUCAGCUCUGCCCAGGCGCCUCUCCCUUCCCCAACUGGAAAAGCACAGAAAUAAAUAUUAAAAAAAAACCACCCCAAAACAAAAAUCAGAGCCCAAACGCGCACAGGGAGACUGACCUUUGGAAAAUCAUUUACUUCGAUGAGGCCGGGGAGGGGAGGCGCACUAACGCACCCCCGCGAGA